AUGGCACACCCGGAGCAUCCGUUGCUCUUCAAUUUUGGCAUCAAUCAAGAGGAGGAGGAGGAGCAAGACCCUCUAGCCCCCUUGUGGGCGGAGAUGGACCUGGCACUGGAGAUGGUUGCGCAGAUGGAUGCAGACGCCGAGCAACAGAAUUGGGACCUUGUGCCGGAUCCUGUGCUCGUGCCUACACCCGCGCACCCGCCCGAGCUAUAUAGCGCGGCUGAUUGGCCGGAAUGGAUUGUGGCCGCCGAUUCGUAUUUCCCCGAAAGCCAUGCAUCAUUCCACGCAUUCUAUCACGGUGGUGGCGGUGGCCAUGGCGUUGGUUGUGGUCGUGGUCGUGGCGCUGGCCACGGACGUAGUGCUGCUGCCCACGGCCAUGGUGGAGGCCGUGGUGGUGGUGGUGGCGGCGAUGCCAUUGGCGGCGGCCAUGGCAUCGGCAGGAGCCGUGGUCGUGGCGGUGGUCGUGGCUGCAACUAG
rnacentral:rRNA from 1 species